rnacentral:rRNA from 1 species
UAGGGAAUUUUCGGCAAUGGGCGCAAGCCUGACCGAGCAACGCCGCGUGAGUGAUUAAGGCCUUCGGGUUGUAAAGCUCUGUUGUAAGGGAAGAACAUUCAGGAUAGGAAAUGAUCUUGAACUGACGGUACCUUACCAGAAAGCCACGGCUAACUACGUGCCAGCAGCCGCGGUAAUACGUAGGUGGCAAGCGUUAUCCGGAAUUAUUGGGCGUAAAGGGUGCGUAGGCGGUUUAUUAAGUCUAUGGUGA